rnacentral:rRNA from 1 species
AACGAACGCUGGCGGCAUGCCUAACACAUGCAAGUCGAACGAGACCUUCGGGUCUAGUGGCGCACGGGUGCGUAAUGCGUGGGAAUCUGCCCUUGGGUUCGGAAUAACAGCGAGAAAUUGCUGCUAAUACCGGAUGAUGACGUAAGUCCAAAGAUUUAUCGCCCAAGGAUGAGCCCGCGUAGGAUUAGCUAGUUGGUGAGGUAAAGGCUCACCAAGGCGACGAUCCUUAGCUGGUCUGAGAGGAUGAUCAGCCACACUGGGACUGAGACACGGCCCAGACUCCUACGGGAGGCAGCAGUGGGGGAAUAUUGGACAAUGGGCGAAAGCCUGAUCCAGCAAUGCCGCGUGAGUGAUGAAGGCCUUAGGGUUGUAAAGCUCUUUUACCCGGGAUGAUAAUGACAGUAUCGGGAGAAUAAGCUCCGGCUAACUCCGUGCCAGCAGCCGCGGUAAU